AGUCGAUCUUGUCAGCCGAAGUAACUCCUGCUGCCUCUGCGCGAGCGUCAUCCUCUCGCUUUAGAGCGUCCUCGCGUGCGUAACUGGAAACCCAUACGUUAGCCUGCGCGGAGCGCGGCUUGUAUACGUAUCCGUUCUCGUCUGGAACGUUGUAUGCCAUUUGUUGCACCUCCUUGAAAAGUUAUCUUGCUACGGAUAUCUUAACAAGGAAACGUCUUUAUGUCAAAUUAAGUGCAUAUGGAGGAAGUUAUGUAAAGGAAAUCUUGGCUACCGGUAUGCCAGGAAUGUCAAGGAUGGGCUUCACGGCUUCCAGGAUGAUAUUUGCAGCGAUGUUGUACCUAAGCACAAUAUCCCGAUGGGUAUUAAGGUCAUCUGGC
rnacentral:misc_RNA from 1 species